GAGGUUGUAGCUCAGUGGUAGAGUUCUUGCCAGCACAUAUGAGGCCCUGGGUUCAAUUCUCAGAACCACA
rnacentral:tRNA from 1 species